AACUUAUCAAGAACGACGGAGGGACCUGGCCCAAUGAAGUCUGGCAACCUGCCUUGAAAAGAAGGUAAGGUGCCAAUUCCAGCAAAAUGGUAUCCAUUUUGGGAGAUAAGGU
rfam:Bacillus smithii strain DSM 4216, complete genome.